rnacentral:rRNA from 1 species
AUACGUAGGGGGCGAGCGUUACCCGGAAUCACUGGGCGUAAAGGACGUGUAGGCGGAUUGUCUAGUCAGGCGUGAAAGCCCCGGGCUUAACCUGGGAACUGCGCUUGAUACUGACAGUCUAGAGUCCGGAAGAGGGUGGUGGAAUUCCCAGUGUAGAGGUGAAAUUCGUAGAUAUUGGGAAGAACACCAGUGGCGAAGGCGGCCACCUGGUCCGGUACUGACGCUGAGGCGCGAAAGCGUGGGGAGCAAACAGGAUUAGAAACCCCAGUAGUCC